AUCUUAGAUGACUGAGUGGAAGUGCUAGACUUUUAAUCUAGAGACGGCAUAAAAUAAAAUUGCCUCUAAGAAAGAU
rnacentral:tRNA from 1 species